UGCAAAAGUAGCCUGGUGAUGACCCA
rnacentral:piRNA from 1 species